GGUCAAGCGAAUAAGCGCACACGGUGGAUGCCUUGGCGGUCA
rnacentral:rRNA from 1 species